UCAUAACACAUGACCGCUCGAGUAGGAAAUUUGAAUUUAUUGAAAACUUCAAACUCUCAUUUCUCUGAAUCGAUGCCCAAGUUCCCUUAGAUAUUACAUAGGCUUAAAGAGGGACUCUUGUACGUUAUUAUAAUACCAAGCAUGUUAUUGGAAAUGUCGUUACUUUAUAAAAUAGUACAAUUUAGAUACACAACGGUUAUCUAGUGUUAAGAUGUAUAAAUCAUAAUAGAUCUCUUGGUUCGCACGUUACUCUUUUAAUUUGCAUGGUAUAGGCAACUGAAUUACAUGAUAUCACGAUGUUAAUUUUUUAUCAAAACAGUCUACGUCCCUAACUUCACAGUUAACACUCAUUAUAAU